UAACGGCUCACCAAGGCAACGAUGGGUAGCUGGUCUGAGAGGACGAUCAGCCACACUUGGGACUGAUACACGGCCCAGACUCCUACGGGAGGCAGCAGUUAGGAAUUUUCCGCAAUGGGCGAAAGCCUGACGGAGCAACGCCGCGUGUGUGAUGAAGGCCUUCGGGUUGUAAAGCACUGUCGGAGGGGAAGAAUAAUGACGGUACCCUCCAAGAAAGCCCCGGCUAACUACGUGCCAGCAGCCGCGGUAAUACGUAGGGGGCGAGCGUUAUCCGGAUUUACUGGGCGUAAAGCGCGUUAAGGCGGCCGACAAAGUUGGUGGUGAAAUUUCAGGGCUCAACUCUGAAACUGCCUCCAAUACUGGUCGGCUUGAGUGCGAGAGAGGAAGGUGGAAUUCCCGGUGUAGUAGUGAAAUG
rnacentral:rRNA from 1 species